rnacentral:misc_RNA from 1 species
AAGACUAUAGACCUGCGGAGUACCUGCGGAGGGAUCAUUAGCAAUUUGCAGCCCCUCUAGGGCUGUUGGGUCACGCCUGCCGGCGGUGCCUGGAGCAAUCUAGGCUUUGGACUGACGCUAACACCCGUGUCUACUAUCUUUGUUGCUUUGGCGGGCCGCUUCGGCGCGGCUCCGGCCGUCAGUGCCCGCCAGAGGAUCCUAAACUCUUGUGUUUAGUAUUGUCUGAGUAAAAAAUAAUAG